GUGGCGAACGGGUGAGUAAUAUAUCGGAACGCUGCCCAGUCGUGGGGGAUAACGCAGCGAAAGCUGUGCUAAUACCGCAUACGAUCUACGGAUGAAAGCGGGGGAUCGCAAGACCUCGCGCGAUUGGAGCGGCCGAUAUCAGAUUAGCUAGUUGGUGGGGUAAAGGCCCACCAAGGCGACGAUCUGUAGCUGGUCUGAGAGGACGACCAGCCACACUGGAACUGAGACACGGUCCAGACUCCUACGGGAGGCAGCAGUGGGGAAUUUUGGACAAUGGGCGCAAGCCUGAUCCAGCAAUGCCGCGUGCAGGAUGAAGGCCUUCGGGUUGUAAACUGCUUUUGUACGGAACGAAACGGCUUCUUCUAAUAAAGGGAGCUAAUGACGGUACCGUAAGAAUAAGCACCGGCUAACUACGUGCCAGCAGCCGCGGUAAUACGUAGGGUGCGAGCGUUAAUCGGAAUUACUGGGCGUAAAGCGUGCGCAGGCGGUUAUAUAAGACAGAUGUGAAAUCCCCGGGCUCAACCUGGGACCUGCAUUUGUGACUGUAUAGCUAGAGUACGGUAGAGGGGGAUGGAAUUCCGCGUGUAGCAGUGAAAUGCGUAGAUAUGCGGAGGAACACCGAUGGCGAAGGCAAUCCCCUGGACCUGUACUGACGCUCAUGCACGAAAGCGUGGGGAGCAAACAGGAUUAGAUACCCUGGUAGUCCACGCCCUAAACGAUGUCAACUGGUUGUUGGGUCUUCNCUGACUCAGUAACGAANCUAACGCGUGAAGUUGACCC
rnacentral:rRNA from 1 species